rnacentral:rRNA from 1 species
CAUAGCGACUAUCGUGGCAUAUCAAUAAGCGGAGGAAAAGAAACUAACUAGGAUUCCCUCAGUAACGGCGAGUGAAGCGGGAAGAGCUCAAAUUUGAAAUCUUCAAGGUUCUACCUUGACGAAUUGUAGUUUAAUGAAGUGUUUUCUGUUGGAGUUUUGGUAAAAGUUCUUUGGAAUAGGACAUCAUAGAGGGUGAGAAUCCCGUAUUUGACCAUUAUUUACAACUUUGUGAUACACUUUCAAAGAGUCGGAUUGUUUGGGAAUGCAGUCCAAAAUGGGUGGUAAAUUUCAUCUAAAGCUAAAUAUUGGCGAGAGACCGAUAGCGAACAAGUACCGUGAGGGAAAGAUGAAAAGAACUUUGAAAAGAGAGUUAAACAGUACGUGAAAUUGUCAAAAGGGAAGCGUUUGACACCAGUGUUGUUUUCUCGAAAAUCAAUUAAAAAUGGCGGAUUUUGUGUUGUAUUGACCUUAUAAGCUUUCUGCACUCUUUUCUUAUCUUUUUUAAUGCACUUUUCGUUUAACAAGUCAACAUCAAUUUCUUUUGUUGUAAAAGAGUCAUUGGAAGGUGGCUUUCUUUUCGGAGAAAGUGUUUAUAGCCUUUGAUCUCUGCAGUCCGGAGAGACUGAGGUCUGCAGCGUAGACUCUUCGGGGUUAGAUACAUUUGUGCUAAGCUAUAGCUUUUUAUAGACAACUUGUUGACUAUGAUCAGUCAUGUAGGCUUACUCGCUUAUGUCAUUUUACCUACGCUUAGGAUGUUGAUAUGCAUGACUGAUAU